GAAAUGCGAUAAGUAAUGUGAAUUGCAGAAUUAAGUGAAUCAUCGAAUCUUUGAACGCACCUUGCGCUCCUUGGUAUUCCUUGGAGCAUGCCUGUUUGAGUAUCAUGAAAUCUUCAAAGUAAAUCUUUUGUUAACUCAAUUGGUUUCUACUUUGGUAUUGGAGGUCUUUGCAGCUUCACACCUGCUCCUCUUUGUUCAUUAGCUGGAUCUCAGUGUUAUGCUUGGUUCCACUCGGCGUGAUAAGUUAUCUAUCGCUGAGGACACUGUAAAAGGUGGCCAAGGUAAAUUCAGAUGAACCGCUUCUAAUAGUCCAUUGACUUGGACAAUACUUUUAUGAUCUGAUCUCAAAUCAGGUAGGACUACCCGCUGAACUUAAGC
rnacentral:misc_RNA from 1 species